UUUACUUUUGGUAGUUGAUACUGAUUAAAAUUUAAAAUACUUGCCAUAUCAAUUCAUAAUUAUGUAUUAUAAUUUAUUUCAGGAUAAGUUGUAUACAUUUAAGAAGAAAAACGAGCACCGAAACAAAUCCAACAAUGAACAACGAACACAAAAUUGUAUGGUUUGAUGGUGUUUGUCCGUUAGCUGGUGACUCUAUUUACACGGAUAGAACUUUUAUUGGAAAGCAUAUUAUGCCAAAACUCGAAAUUCGUUUAAGUUAUAGAUUGAUAGACGUGUCUACUCUAAAAUAGUUGUUUAAGAUAAGUUGUAUACAUUUAAGAAGAAAAACGAGCAC